CGUGUAGGCGGCCUUGCAAGUCAGGCGUGAAAGCCCUCGGCUUAACCGGGGAAGUGCGUCUGAAACUGCUUGGCUCGAGUACGGGAGAGGGAGGCGGAAUUCCCAGUGUAGAGGUGAAAUUCGUAGAUAUUGGGAGGAACACCGGUGGCGAAAGCGGCCUCCUGGACCGAUACUGACGCUGAGACGCGAAAGCGUGGGGAGCAAACAGGAUUAGAUACCCUGGUAGUCC
rnacentral:rRNA from 1 species